rnacentral:rRNA from 1 species
AUUGAACGCUGGCGGCAUGCUUUACACAUGCAAGUCGAACGGUAACAGGCCUUCGGGUGCUGACGGGUGGCGCACGGGUGCGUAAUGCAUCGGAACGUGCCCAGAGGUGGGGGAUAACGCAGCGAAAGCUGUGCUAAUACCGCAUGUGAUCUGAGGAUGAAAGCGGGGGACCAAGCAGCAAUGUUUGGCCUCGCGCCUCUGGAGCGGCCGAUGUCAGAUUAGGUAGUUGGUGGGGUAAAGGCCUACCAAGCCGACGAUCUGUAGCUGGUCUGAGAGGACGACCAGCCACACUGGGACUGAGACACGGCCCAGACUCCUACGGGAGGCAGCAGUGGGGAAUUUUGGACAAUGGGCGCAAGCCUGAUCCAGCAAUGCCGCGUGCGGGAAGAAGGCCUUCGGGUUGUAAACCGCUUUUGUACGGAACGAAAAGGCUCUGGCUAAUACCUGGGGCUGAUGACGGUACCGUAAGAAUAAGCACCGGCUAACUACGUG